UGCCUUUGUGUUGCACAUUUACUUUGAAAGUAGUAAAUGAGGUGUCAAAAAAGGCAAAAAUAAAACCCACCAUAGCCUGCUACACCUUGUGAUACUCAGCACUUGGUUGUAUGGCUGUGCUGGAAUAAAC